rnacentral:rRNA from 1 species
GACGAACGCUGGCGGCGUGCCUAAUACAUGCAAGUAGAACGCUGAAGAGAGGAGCUUGCUCUUCUUGGAUGAGUUGCGAACGGGUGAGUAACGCGUAGGUAACCUGCCUGGUAGCGGGGGAUAACUAUUGGAAACGAUAGCUAAUACCGCAUAAUAGUAGAUGUUGCAUGACAUUUGCUUAAAAGGUGCAAUUGCAUCACUACCAGAUGGACCUGCGUUGUAUUAGCUAGUUGGUGAGGUAACGGCUCACCAAGGCAACGAUACAUAGCCGACCUGAGAGGGUGAUCGGCCACACUGGGACUGAGACACGGCCCAGACUCCUGCGGGAGGCAGCAGUAGGGAAUCUUCGGCAAUGGACGGAAGUCUGACCGAGCAACGCCGCGUGAGUGAAGAAGGUUUUCGGAUCGUAAAGCUCUGUUGUAAGAGAAGAACGAGUGUGAGAGUGGAAAGUUCACACUGUGACGGUAUCUUACCAGAAAGGGACGGCUAACUACGUG